GGGCAAGUGACGCAGUGGUAGCGUGUUCGCUUUGCAUGCGAGAAGCCCUGGGUUCAAUCCCCAGCUUGUCCA
rnacentral:tRNA from 1 species